rnacentral:rRNA from 1 species
AGAACGAACGCUGGCGGCAGGCCUAACACAUGCAAGUCGAACGCGACCUUCGGGUCGAGUGGCGCACGGGUGAGUAACGCGUGGGAAUCUGCCCUGUGGUACGGAAUAACAUCGGGAAACUGAUGCUAAUACCGUAUAUCCCCUGAGGGGGAAAGAUUUAUCGCCAUGGGAGGAGCCCGCGUAGGAUUAGCUAGUUGGUGAGGUAACGGCUCACCAAGGCGACGAUCCUUAGCUGGUCUGAGAGGAUGAUCAGCCACACUGGGACUGAGAUACGGCCCAGACUCCUACGGGAGGCAGCAGUGGGGAAUAUUGGACAAUGGGGGAAACCCUGAUCCAGCCAUGCCGCGUGUGUGAUGAAGGCCUUCGGGUUGUAAAGCACUUUCGCACGUGACGAUGAUGACGGUAACGUGAGAAGAAGCCCGGCUAACUUCGCGCCAGCAGCCGC